AUUCGCACGUGGCCCUUUCGGAGGCACAUUGUGUCUGCGAGCGCUGGUGUAACUGCUGGCAUUGCCUUUCCAGCUUCCAGUAUGAAGCGGCCGAAGUUAAAGAAAUCAAGUAAACGCAUGACCUGCCAUAAGCGGUAUAAAAUCCAAAAAAAGGUACGAGAGCACCAUCGAAAAUUGAGGAAAGAGGCUAAAAAACGAGGUCGAAAGAAGCCUAGGAAAGACCCAGGAAUUCCAAAUAGUGCUCCUUUUAAGGAGGCUCUUCUUCGGGAAGCUGAGCUAAGGAAACAGCGGCUUGAAGAACUGAAACAGCAGCAGAAACUUGAGAGGCAGAAGGAACAGGACAAGAAAAGAAAACUUGAAACUAAUCCUGGUGUUGAGCUGUCUCACAAGGUUCUUGUGAAAGAGGAAUUUGGGCGAUCUAAAGCUAAGAAAGCCAAGUCAAGCAAACAGAAUCCAAAGAAGUUGUACUGUCAGGAACUUAAAAAGGUAUCUUAGUCUAGGUCAGUGCCUAAAAAUGGUAAUGAUGUUUGAAAGACUAUUGUCAUUUUUUUUUUUUUCCUUAUGACACCAACCUUGCAAAGGUAGAAGUAGGGUUCUCUGGAGCUGGAAGACUCCUCCAGCAAGCUGGCUUACUCUGUUAUGUUUGGCUGAAGGACAUAUUCUUGUUGUUUUAAAUUUUUUCGUGGGAACAAUUUACCGUAAGCAUGAUUUACAAAAGUGGCAUUUUAUAAAGUAACAUGUGUUGACACAGUGGUUUUUUAAAUGUAGAACAAUACAUUAAGAGUAGCAGUGUAGGAGUUCCCCUCAUGGCUCAGUGGUUAACGAAUCCGACUAGGAACCACGAGGUUGCAGGUUCCAUCUCUGGCCUUGCUCAGUGGGUUAAGGAUCUGGCAUUGCUGUGAGCUGUGGUAUAGGUUGCACACGCAGCUCAGAUCGCACGUUGCUGUGGCUCUGGUGUAGGCCGUCAGCUACAGCUCAGAUUAGACUCCUAGCCUGGGAACCUCCAUAAGCCACAGGAGCAGCCUAGAAAUGGCAAAAAAAAAAAAAGGCAGUGCAAAAAAAUAUAAGAAUCUGUUAAAGUACAAUGCUAAAACCAAAGUGAGGGGAUUUCAAGGGGAUGGCUUGUUAUAGUACUCCCAAUGUCUGUUUUCCUAAGCUCAUUCCCAUCUGUGACUAGGCUGCUUAUCAGGUCUUGGCCACAAAGGCUAAUCAAUCUAUAUAAUUUACAAGGAGAGGAUUACAUGUUUAGAUAGUUUGACUGUUUCCACUCUUGAAAUCCACUUUGAUCAAAGGCAACUGAAACAAACCUGUUUUAUUUUCAUAUAAGAAAUGGUGAAUGUGUUAGCUUGAUAACCCAAGUGAAGACAAGAGAUUUAACUCUGAGUUUACUUUGUUACAAAGUAGACAAUGCUGAUGUACUUAUGUGGAGGGUAGUGCCAGAGCAGGGGGUGCUGUUCUGAUAGCUUCUGCUUUGACAGGUGAUCGAAGCCUCAGAUGUUGUGCUGGAGGUAUUAGACGCCAGAGAUCCUCUUGGUUGCAGGUGUCCCCAGGUGGAAGAAGCCAUUGUCAAGGGUAGACAGAAAAGGCUAGUACUUGUACUAAAUAAGUCAGGUAAGCAAAAAUAAUUGCCCUUUUAUGUUCCAUAUGCACUAUUGAGGUGUGAGGAAAACAUCUGAACAGUCUGAUUGUGUCUGAAGACUGAUAAGAUCCAACUCUGACCUCAGCAAAACCAGUGCAUAUGUGUGUGCUCUUGUUAACAAAGACAGUGCUAGAUAGUAGGCUGGAAAUGUUUUCUAGAAGUGAUUUAUGUGGUUUGUAAUUUUUUUUUUUUUUUGCUAUUGAAUAUUUAAAACUACUUUGUCUUAUUUAAGAGUGUAAGCUUUUAUACUGUGCAGUAUUUUUCACAUAGGAAGUGAUGACAGUGUUCCGUAUUCCCCACACCUGCACAAUGUCAACCUGGCAUUAUUUAAAUGAAAUACAUAGUUUUGUAUCUGGGUUUGGGCAGAAGGGACAAGAACACCCAGAAAAGAGAUUUGUGAAGCACAGAGUAAGCUAGAAUCUAAAAUUACUCUUGGAGUCAGUAAACAUGGCUGCUCCCUAAGAGUAAAUUCUGGAAACAGAGCCCUAAGGUUAGUAGGGUAAUAAUUUAGAGGUUGGCUUAAUCCUGAAAGGGUGAGCAGUGCAGAAGGGAAUUGAAGAAAUACAGAGGUGUAGGUACUGAGUUCUGUUAACAGAAGCAUGAUGGGGAGCUGACUGCCUCCCCAUUAGUUUAGAUACUUGUGAAAAAACUGGGGAAAGAUAAUCCUGAGUGAAAUCCGGAGCUUUCCAAACACUGCAAAUUCACCUCAACAAAAUGAUCAAAUUGGAGCAGUGUUUUAUUCUUAAUUCCUAUCAGAUUUGGUACCAACGGAAAAUUUGGAGAACUGGCUAAAUUAUUUGAAGAAAGAGUUGCCAACAGUUGUAUUCAAAGCCUCAACUGAUCUGAAGGACAAAGGGAAGAGAAUCAAGGAAAGGAAGAAAGUUGCUCCAUUCAAAACUGAAGUUUGUGUUGGUAAAGAAGGCCUUUGGAAGCUUCUUGGAGGUUUUCAGGAGAUUUAUGGCAAAGCCAUUUGCGUUGGGGUUAUUGGUUUCCCAAAUGUGGGGAAAAGCAGCAUCAUCAAUAGCUUAAAACAAGAACGGAUAUGUAAUGUUGGUGUAUCCAUGGGGCUUACAAGGUGCAUGCAGGUUGUCCCCUUGGACAAACAAAUCACACUCAUAGAUAGUCCAGGUUUCAUUGCAUCUCCACUGAACUCUGCUUCUGCACUUGCUUUGAGAAGUCCAGCAAGUAUUGAAGUAAUAAAACCAAUGGAGGCUGCUAGCGCCAUUCUGUCCCAUGCUGAUGCUCGACAGGUAGUACUGAAAUUUACUGUCCCAGACUUUGAGAAUUCGCUGGAAUUUUUCACUUCUUUUGCUCAGAGAAGAGGACUGCACCAAAAAGGUGGAAGUCCAAAUGUAGAAGGUGCUGCCAAACUGCUGUGGUCUGAGUGGACAGGGUUACUAUUGUCACCCCCCUACAUCCUGGACUCUUUCUUCACAUUUUAAUGAAAGCAUUGUGACAGACAUGAAAUGGGGCUUUAAUCUGGAAGAAUUAGAAAAGAAUAAUGCACGCAGCAUACAAGCUAUCAAGGGUCCUCGUUUAGCCGGGAGCAUCCUUUUCCAGUCUUCAGGUUUGACAAAUGGAAUAAUAGAGGAAGGGGACAUACCUGAAGAACCCCUGAAACAGAAAGAACAGAAGCAAGAGGAGGGGGAGGACUAUGGAGAUGUUGACACCGACCAAGAAAGUGUUGACAAAGAAGGUGAUGAAAAGAGCUCAGACACAUCACCUGCAGAAGAGGCCUUUGAGGCUGUGCCCAAGGGGUCUCAAGCAGGUGAGCAGUCUGCACUUUCUUUUGUCAUGGAAAAGAUGACUGAGGAAGAUGAUGCUUAUGACUUCAGUACAGACUACAUGUUAUAGAACCUCAUUCUUCUAUAAGGGUUUUUUGCUUGUUCUUAAUAUUGUGGACAGACUGUCAAGCUGUUCUGUAUGUUAUACCAGUAUGACAUGAACUGUGUAGAAAAUAUUUUGUGAAUAUGUGUAACAAUAAAUAGAAAUCAAGUAACUCAAAAA